AGGGACAGUGACUCCAUCACCUCCCUGGGAAGCCUGUUCCAGCACCUCACCAAUCUUUCAGUUUCAUUGCUGCCUUGGAAGUGAGUAACCGGAGAGUGCAUAAAUCCCUUUUCAGCCUCAAAUCAAUGAGGAACUCUUGGAAUUACUUCAGUGUCUUCAUGUUUUUGAAGCCUCAAGGACAUGCUCUUUUCAAACAAAUCUCUAACUGUUUUCUCAAUUCGCAAUGGUACAUUAAUAGCAAAACACAAACUUUUACUGUACUUUCAGUGCUUCAUUUUAGCUUAAAUAAGGAAGUCUGGGAAACAGUGCUAGGUAAUGUGUUGACACAGUCCUGUAGUACAACUCACUGCUAUGAGAGUUAUGUUACAUUAAUUACUAUGCUAUUAUUAUAGCAAUCCUAUUGUCAUUGUUAUGCAUACUAUUCAUUAUGCUUAUAUAACUUCUAUGGCAGCCUGUAUUUCUUGUUCAUAUAUGCUAUAAUGGAAUUAUCACCUUUGGUCCCACUUCUUGCAGUUUACAAAAUAAAUUGCAAACAUAUAUUUCUGCA